GAUGAAGAACGUAGUGAAAUGCGAUAAGUAAUGUGAAUUGCAGAAUUCAGUGAAUCAUCGAAUCUUUGAACGCACAUUGCGCCCACUAGUAUUCUGGUGGGCAUGCCUGUUCGAGCGUCAUUUCAACCCUCAAGCCUGGCUUGGUGUUGGGGCUCUGCGUCUGCAGUCCCUUAAAUCCAGUGGCGGACACGCUAGGUCUCCGAGCGCAGUAGUUUCUCCUCGCUCAGGGCGUCCGUCGUGGGCUUGCCUCGCACCCAUCUUUUACAAGGUUGACCUCGGAUCAGGUAGGAAUACCCGCUGAACUUAAGCAUAUCAAUAAGCGGAGGA
rnacentral:misc_RNA from 1 species